rnacentral:rRNA from 1 species
GUAGGUGAACCUGCGGAAGGAUCAUUGUCGAAACCUGCAAAAGCAGACCGCGAACACGUUCAAAACAACACCGGGGCCGCGGAUGGGGGGCAACUCCCACCCGGGGCGCCGACCCCGCCCGGCGCGCGAGCGUCGUGCGGGCUAACGAACUCGGGCGCGGAAUGCGCCAAGGAAAACGCAAAUGGAGCGUCCCCCUCCCCCUCGAGUCCCGUCCGCGGGGCGAGGCGGGGAGCAAGGGACGCCUAUCGAAUGUCUAAACGACUCUCGGCAACGGAUAUCUCGGCUCUCGCAUCGAUGAAGAACGUAGCGAAAUGCGAUACUUGGUGUGAAUUGCAGAAUCCCGUGAACCAUCGAGUCUUUGAACGCAAGUUGCGCCCGAAGCCAUUAGGCCGAGGGCACGUCUGCCUGGGCGUCACGCAUCGCGUCGCCCCCACUCCCCCCAAGGGGCGAGCGGGGGCGGAGAUUGGCCCCCCGUGCGCGCAGACGCGCGCGCGGCCGGCCCAAAUGCGAAUCCGCCGUCGACGCACGUCGCGACCAGUGGUGGUUGAAUCCUCAACUCGCGUGCUGUCGCGCACCAAUGCGCCGCCGGUCCGGAGACAUCGAAAGAACCCAACGGCGCGAGCGCACGCUCCGCGCCCACGACCGCGACCCCAGGUCAGGCGGGAUCACCC